rnacentral:rRNA from 1 species
GAAUAGUGGCGGACGGGUGAGUAUCGCGUGGGUAACCUGCCCAUAGGUGGGGAAUAACAGUUGGAAACGACUGCUAAUACCGCAUAAGCUGAGCAAUCAGUAAAGGAGGCUAACGCUUCCGCUUAUGGAUGGGCCCGCGUCUGAUUAGCUGGUUGGUGGGGUAAUGGCCUACCAAGGCAACGAUCAGUAGCCGGCCUGAGAGGGUGGACGGCCACACUGGGACUGAGACACGGCCCAGACUCCUACGGGAGGCAGCAGUGGGGAAUAUUGCGCAAUGGGGGGAACCCUGACGCAGCAACGCCACGUGUGGGAAGAAGCAUUUCGGUGUGUAAACCACUGUCGGAAAGGAAUAACGGAAGACUUCGGUCUUUAUGAAUGUACUUUUAGAGGAAGCACCGGCAAACUUCGUGCCAGCAGCCGCGGUAAUACGAGGGGUGCAAGCGUUGUUCGGAAUCACUGGGCGUAAAGGGAGCGUAGGCGGAAGUGCAAGCAAUCUGUAUAAUCCUGGGGCCCAACCCCAGUUCUGCAGAUUGGACUGUAUUUCUUGAAUAGUUCAGAGGCAAGCGGAAUUUCUGGUGUAGCGGUGGAAUGCGUAGAGAUCAGAAAGAACACCAAUGGCGAAGGCAGCUUGCUGGGGACUUAUUGACGCUGAGGCUCGAAAGUGUGGGUAGCAAACAGGAUUAGAUACCCUGGUAGUCCACACUGUAAACGAUGCAUACUGGGUGUCCGAAAUUCGUUUCGGGUACCGUAGCUAACGCGUUAAGUAUGCCGCCUGGGGAGUACGUACGCAAGUAUGAAACUCAAAGGAAUUGACGGGGGCCCGCACAAGCGGUGGAGCAUGUGGUUUAAUUCGAGGCAACGCGAAGAACCUUACCAGGGUUUGACAUCCCGCGCUACGGGUAGAGAUACCCGGUUUCCUUCGGGGACGCGGAGACAGGUGGUGCAUGGUUGUCGUCAGCUCGUGUCGUGAGAUGUUCGGUUAAGUCCGGCAACGAGCGCAACCCUCGUGGCCAGUUGCCAUCAUUUAGUUGGGCACUUUGGCCAGACUGCCGUUGACAAAACGGAGGAAGGUGGGGAUGACGUCAAAUCAUCAUGCCCCUUAUGUCCUGGGCUACACACGUACUACAAUGGGCGCUACAACGGGCAGCCACACCGCGAGGUGGAGCGAAUCCCCAAAGGCGUCCCCAGUUCGGAUUGCAGGCUGAAACUCGCCUGCAUGAAGCCGGAACUGCUAGUAAUGGCAGGUCAGCAUACUGCCGUGAAUACGUUCCCGGGCCUUGCACACACCGCCCGUCAAG